UACGUAGGGUGCAAGCGUUAAUCGGAAUUACUGGGCGUAAAGCGUGCGCAGGCGGUUUUGUAAGACAGAGGUGAAAUCCCCGGGCUCAACCUGGGAACUGCCUUUGUGACUGCAAAGCUCGAGUGCGGCAGAGGGGGAUGGAAUUCCGCGUGUAGCAGUGAAAUGCGUAGAUAUGCGGAGGAACACCGAUGGCGAAGGCAAUCCCCUGGGCCUGCACUGACGCUCAUGCACGAAAGCGUGGGGAGCAAACAGG
rnacentral:rRNA from 1 species